rnacentral:rRNA from 1 species
ACUCCUACGGGAGGCAGCAGUGGGGAAUAUUGCACAAUGGGGGAAACCCUGAUGUAGCCAUGCCGCGUGUGUGAAGAAGGCCUUCGGGUUGUAAAGCACUUUCAGUAGGGAGGAAGGUAGUGUAGUUAACACCUGCAUUAUUUGACGUUACCUACAGAAGAAGCACCGGCUAACUCCGUGCCAGCAGCCGCGGUAAUACGGAGGGUGCGAGCGUUAAUCGGAAUUACUGGGCGUAAAGCGCAUGCAGGCGGCCUGUUAAGUCAGAUGUGAAAGCCCGGGGCUUAACCUCGGAAUUGCAUUUGAAACUGGCAGGCUAGAGUCUGUAGAGGGGUAGAAUUUCAGGUGUAGCGGUGAAAUGCGUAGAGAUCUGAAGGAAUACCAGUGGCGAAGGCGGCCCCUGGACAAAGACUGACGCUCAGAUGCGAAAGCGUGGGAGCAAACAGGAUUAGAUACCCCUGGUAGACUGUCA